AGAGCGAACGCUUGCGGCGGGCUUAACACAUGCAAGUCGAACGCGUACCUUCGGGUACGAGUGGCGGACGGGUGAGUAACACGUAGGUUACCUGCCCUUCGGUGGGGGAUAACUGGGGGAAACUCCAGCUAAUACCGCAUUCGGUCUACGGAUCAAAGCAGCAAUGCGCCGGAGGAUGGGCCUGCGUCCGAUUAUUUAAUCCUAGUUGGCGGGGUAACGGCCCACCAAGGGUACGAUCGGUAGCUGGUCUGAGAGGACGAUCAGCCACACUGGAACUGAGACACGGUCCAGACUCCUACGGGAGGCAGCAGUGGGGAAUAUUGCGCAAUGGGCGAAAGCCUGACGCAGCCACGCCGCGUGUGUGAUGAAGGCCUUCGGGUUGUAAAGCACUGUCGAGGGGGAAGAAGCAAUGACGGUACCCCUCAAGAAAGCGCCGGCUAACCCUGUGCCAGCAGCCGC
rnacentral:rRNA from 1 species